rnacentral:misc_RNA from 1 species
GUGAAUCAUCAAAUUUUUGAACGCAAAUUGCACUCUCUUCGGAGAGUAUGCCUGUUUGAGGGUCAGCCUAAAAAAAAUCGACAUAGUUGCUGUUUCGCGGUGACAUUCGUCGGAAAUUGGGUCAUCUUAAACCUUUGGGUUUUAAGCGACUUAAAAUUUUCUUUACGAUUCCACGAACGUUUCUAAGAUUUACUUCUUUAGUUUAAGGUAGCGAUUUUUAUUAUACGUGUCCGUUGCA